UGUCAUCCCAGCAGGCCCUGUGCUGUGAAUAGAGCCAUGUGCAGCACAAAGGGAAUGUGGCAUGUGGCCCCAGGAAGAGUUCACCCAGCCAGGGGGCAGUUGUUCAGUUGCCUGGGGCUGACACUGACCACUGGCCUCUGGGGUGUCCUACAGCCCAAAUGCCCACCUUGCCCUCCUCACAUCUCAGUCAGGGGAGGCCAUGCCCAGGCCAAUGUGCUGUCAGAGCCUGCAGUGGGGGCAGUACUUCCUUGGAGGGCCUGGGAGGUGCCGGGGAUGCCCCAGCGCUUCUCCUCCUGCCUGGCCCUGGCAUGGCCCAGUGCCUCUAGGAUCAACUUACAAUCCGUGGAACAGCCCCGGGAAACCCAAACCUGGCUCAGGACAGCGUAGGGGCAGGAGGGCUGUAAAUCAUCCCAGGCUAAGCCUCCAUGGGUGCUGGGUCCUGCGGAGCCUGGCUAUGGGCUCAGUUAGAACCACUUAGAAAGUCAGCGACAGCCCACAGAAGGCCACUGCAGCUAAGUAAACACCUGAGAAAUAAACUGUUCCAGAAGAGAUGACGUGGGCUUCCAGGAGCAUGGAGGAGGUGGCACUUGAACUUUGAGGAAACCCCUUGGAUGAGAUAAAGUGGGGGUUGGAGGUGGCGGGAAGAGGGUAACCCUGGGAAAGUCAACGUCAGAACGCAUGGCAGAAGACUGUGGAAGAGGCAGGGGAGGGGCUUUGGGGACCACUGUGGACAGAGUUCUGAAAGCACCCUGGCCAAAGCCUCUCCUGAGGUGACAGAGCGUGGGAGGAGGCUGCAGGGGCACUGGGCCUGCGUGCCAUCCUCACCCUGUUCCCCGCUGGCGCCAGGCCCUGCCUUCUUGGUACAUGUGCCAACAGGAGGCCCUCACCAGCUGAUCUUGUCACUCUCCGUGGUGACUAUGCCUUGGCCAGCUGUGGCCCCUAGUUUCUAGCAGUGUUUCUCAGUGUCCUUGGCCCUUCUGAGAAGGCAGGCGGGAGGCACACGGUGCCCUGUUCUUCCCCGUUUGUCCAGUUGCUUGCAAAGCAGAGAAUGAGUAGGAAUGAACCCGAGUGCCUUCACCCACCCUGUCCCCCACGUCAGGACAGGCUUGAGGCCUCUCUGGGCGUGAGCGAGGAGACCAGGCUGCUCUAACUUCUGAAGAGUGGGCUCCGGCUCAAGACUCCAAUCGGCCAGAAGCCCACAGAGAUCAAAGCACUAGCAAGUUCAGCUGUCCUGGCCCUCAGGCAGAACCCACUGGAGUGCCUGGGUGUGGCUCCACCCACAUGCCCCACUGUCAGCCCAGGCAGGAGCCUUCCUGGCCAGGCUCAAGAUCUGCCUGCAGCCCAGCCAGGCCAUCACCCAGCCCCGAUGCAUCCUGGCACUGCACGCUUACUCUUCACAAGCACUUAUAUGCGGAUGGCCUCCGAGACCCUGCCUCCCUGGUCUGCUGAGGCCAGGCCAGGUCUCCCACGGGGCUGGGCAGCUCCCCACCCCACCGCCUGGCACAGUUAGGUCUCAGAUCUCCCAUGUGGUGUUUGAUGUCGGCUUUUGUUCCUACCUUGGGAGUUUGGAUUGUUUCCUCUGGUGUCUUUGUUUACCUUCCUCACUGUUCUACCUCCUGGCCAGGUCUCAGCUUAGCUUCCCUGGUGUGGGGUGUUUUUCAAGCCUUCCAGCCACAGCUGUCUCCCCACAGGCUGGAUGGCUCAGGGGUGACAGGGCUUCACCCUCUGACUGCAGACCCCUGGUGGGCACAUCUCACAGGCUUCCGUCUUGCUGAGUUGAGUACAGAGGCAGAAGUGAGGUGUGGAGGAAAGUCAGAGGGAAAUCUGCUUCAGAAAGGAAGGGUCUUUAGACACGAAGCCUGGAGGGCCCUUCCCCGCCUGCACGGGAGCUGCCAUCAUGGGGCUCAUGCACGUCAAGACCUUCCCACAUCCAAACUCACCUUCCAGCAGGGAUUUUGACUUUGGAUGACAUGGCUUUAUUUGUAAAUAUGCUCUUAAUAUGCAACUUUGAGAAUAAAAUAGAAACAUCAUGUAUUUUAAAAUAUAAGAUGAAGUGUGAUGCACUGUAUACAAUUUAAUAUAUAUUUUUAGGAUUUUGUUAUUUAAGAAAAUGGAAUGUAAUGGUACUUUUACAAAAGAGAAAAAAUGUUAUUUUUACUUUCUGGAAAAAAUAAAUAUUCUCAUUGUUGUAGAAACA